CCCGUGUGGUGCUGGAAGCAGAAGAGCGGCUUCAGGGCCAUCUGCACGUGGUCUCGGGGGGAACAGAGCACCAUGUCCCCGGCUUCCUAAUGCCGCGUGGCCUUGCAUCUGUGCAGUGGGGCGGCCCCAGGCCUCUUUGGGCCGCAGGACAAGCCCGGGGUCCGACGGCGGUGGGGAACUCGGACACCACGUGAUCGGAGCCUGGAAAGAAAACCCCAGCCGGAUGCGACCCGUCGAGCAGGAAACCCUGAAGUCUCCGACGGGAAACCACGGUCAGCACUGACAGACUCAGGAAGGUGGCAGGACACAAAUCAACAGGCAGAUGUCACUCACGUUUCAGAUUAAGGAAACGAUUACUUUUAAAAUGGCGUCAAAAAGAGUAAGACAUUUAGAAACAAGUUAGGCCAACGAGACAGGAGACUUGUUCACGGGAACUACACCGUGUUACUGAACGACCACGGAAGGCGUUAAUACGCGGACAGAUGUCCUGUGUUCACGGCCGGGUGAUGGGACGCCGCUAGGACGACAGUGUUCCCGAAAUGCUGGUUCCUCCGCAGGUUCACUGCCAUCACCCCCGAAGCCCUGGACACUUUUUUUGUAGAUACAGAAAAAUACAUUCCAAAUUUCAUACGGCGUUUCAAGGGACCCGGAGUACCCGAAAUAAUUUUGACAAGGAGAAAGUUGGAGGACUCCCGCUUCUUGAUUUCAAAAUUCACUGCAAAAUUACAGCAAUAGAAACAGUGUUGUUCUGGCAUAAAACACAAGUAGAGACGAGAGGAUUGGAGGAGAAAACCCAGAAAGAAGGCCGCAUAUUCUUGGUCAACUGAUUUCCAGCAAGAGUGCCAAAACUAUUCAACGGGGGAAAAGACAGGUUUUUCUUUAACAAAUGGUGUUGGGAAAACUGGACGUCCACACGUGCGUGAGAGAAAGAGGCUGGACCCUUCCGUGACCCCAUAUGCCCAAAUCAGCAGAAAUGGGGUCAAAUACCCAAGCGUAAGAGCUAAGACCGUAAGACUUUUAGAAGAACACACAGGAGAGAAGAUUCAGGACGUUGCAUUUGUGGUGAUUUAUUGGCUCUAGCACCCAAAGCACAGGCAACUAGAAAAGCAGAUAAAUUGGACUUUCACAAAAGGAAGCACUUUGGGGCAUCAGAGGGCCCCAUCAGGGGAGUUAAAGACAGCCCACAGAAUGGGAGAAAAUGUCUCCCUCACCUGAUGAGGGGCUGACACCCAGGAUCUGUAAAAACUGCUCAGCGACAAAGGAACGAUCCCAUUAAAAAAUGGGCCGAGUCUGUCUCCAGAGACGACGCACAGAUGGCCGGUCAGCGCCCGACUGGAACUCCCCUCACUCCUCACCAGGGGACACAGGACAAUCGUGAGGUCCUGCAACCAUCAGAAGCACAGCACAGCGAGCGUCGGCCAGGACGUGACGCCCAGGUUGUGACGCCAAUGGCCGAGCGCGUUGCCAGUGGGUGCGGGAGACAAGCAUCCCCCACGGAAACACAGGGGAGUCUCGGAAAGACCCAUGUGGCCCACUCCUAGGGGUUUACGAGGUACUCGUGGUUCGUGAGCACGGCGGCCGCGAGGGACAAGUGACCCCCGUGUGGCCUCCCCAGCAUCGGCCCGCCCGGGGGACACCACGGCCACCUGCGCCUGCUCGUGCGGUCAGCUCUGCGGCAGGGUCCCUUCCCCGACCCCGUCUCUCCCUGGGGGGCCGGCCUCCCGCCCCUGGAGAGCGGCCCAGCCCCAGGUCUUGAGAUCUGGCGCUUUGCAAAACUAUAUUUCUCUGCAGACCAGAGGCGUUCCGCUCAAGCAGCAGACUCUCGUAAUGGCUCAUCUUGGGAUCUAAGCAGAUGAUGCUUCACGAGAGCCUGUGGAGGGGAAGUUAAGGCAAAAAGUUACUGCAUUUCUGGGCUCCUCUUGCCAAAGGCACGAGGCCCCGCUUCUUAUUGGUUUCCCGUGGGCAGGUUUAUUAUCGCGCUUCCUCUUUCCUGCUGGUCUCAGUGGAACCAGAGCAGUUUGAGGGGAGAGUCAGAUUCCCCACCUCCGUGCCGUGUGGUUCUUCCACAUCGUGCAGCAAUGCGGAGCCUCGGGUGGCAGAGGGCCGUCGGGACACAGGACGGGGCAGCCAGGCGGGGCGGUGGGGACCAGAGCUUGCGCCCCCCUACCCCCACCCCGAGGGGACCCUGGUGGUUGCCCGGUGGAUGGAGUCCAGCGUUGACGAGCCCGCGACCAUUCAAGAGCGUCCAGGUGUGGCACCCUCAGGUGAGAGUUCGGGUGUGUCCAGGUGGCUCUCGUGCGGCACACCCUCUGUCGCCCCGGAUCCACUGUCCCCCGUGUUCACCCCACUCCCUCCCCGCGCCUUGACCUGCGGGCUGUGUGGCCGGGGCUCCCACCUCCUGCCUUGUGGUCAGGCCCCACCCGCGGGAGCCCCCAGAGCUGCGCGUGGGGAGAGAGGUGUGUCUACACUGGCCUGCUACAUCUACCAGAUAUGCCUUGUGUCCCCAUGCUGACCAGGGAAGUGUCACUUAUUCCCCAGGUUUGUCUGCCCUGUCCUAGGAUGUCUCCCACGUUUCCAAGGUGUGUGUUAGAACCUGGAACGUCUCUCAGAACUCUGGUGUUUCUACUGUGAACCGUGAUAGCUCCCUCUCUCCCGACUGUGUCUCACCUGACCUGGUGUAUCUGCUCAUAGUUCAGCCCGUGUGUGUCUCCACGACCAGGGACGCCUCCCUCGUGCCCCAGCUGUGUCCGUACUAAGCGGGAGCAUCUCUGGGUGUGACUGUCGUGUCUAGUGUUGCCCAAGACGUGCACCUCAUUCCCCAGGUUGGUCUUAGUGGAAGGUUCCUCGUUUCCCAGGGCUGGCUGCCUCAUCUUGGGUAUCUGCCUGGUUGCACAGGUGAGUCUACAUGACCUGCGGCGUCUCCCGAAAUCCCCGGCCGCAUCUGCCCUGACUUGGUAGGUCGUAUCCACUAGGUGUGCGUGUCCUGACCGGACGUCUGCCUGUCGCAGGUGUUGAUCUCCUGACCUGGGAUGUCUCCCUAGUCCUGAGGUGUGUCUACACCAUGCUGGGAUACCUCCCUUUAUCUGCACUUGGGUCUACACUGACCAGCAGUGCUUUAAUAGCUUAAGUGCCCACCAUAACCUGGUAUGUCUGCCUGAUAUCCCAUUGUGUCCACACUGACCUGGAAGGUCUCUGUAACAGGCAUGUCAGAGCAGCUCUGGGACAUGGGUUCUCCAGGUGUUUACUCUGACCUGCGACGUUUUCUGUUGCCCCCUCGUGCAUAGACCCUGACCAUGUCUCCUGAAUUCAUCAAAUGCCAGUGUACUCACUUGAUCUUUUUAGUUGGUUAAAUUCAGUUUUUAUUUUUAUAAGCCAAUCUGCACCUUUCAUGAUGGGUUUCAAUUUUUUGUGCGUUGUUUAUACAAGCAAAACCUGUAUUAGACUCUUUACUCUCUGAAUAAGACUGGUACUGCUAAGGGAGGGAACGAGCUAACUACUGCACAAACACUUACUGUAACUGUAGAUAUUCUGCGAUAGAGAAAGUCACUUCUGUGGAGUUCCAGUGAGAUACAGCUGGAGAAUUCUGGAGACCUAACUUGUAAAGGUAGACACCCCAGGGGAACAGAGUCCACCUCCCCGCUAGGACCAGCAACACUGGAGUGUGGAGGGAGUCCUCGCUCAGGCCAGACACCAUCCUGGGUCACGGAGACGUCACAAGCCUGGAGAAUUGGAGUGACAACCCAGGUCGGGACAGAUGCCCCUCCAGGCACGUGCACACACACCUGACUUACUAGGGAGGCCUCAGUGCUUACGGCCUGAACCUGUCUCCCUGAUCAGGGUAGACAGAACUGGGGGGUUAGGGACACUUCCCGGGUCCAUGCAGAAAUACUUGAGGAAUCGAGGUGACGUCAUCGAUCAUGGUAGCUCCCCCUGGGGAACAAGAGCAUCAUGUUAGAAUUGGGGGACACCCCACGUCAGAGUUGAACUAACCCGAGGAAGCACUCACUACGCGUCCCGUUAGACUUUGUGUGAUGUAAAGAGGCGCCCUGGUAGACAGCCAGAGUGACAGGGAGAUGUCAGGGUGGACGUCCCGCCAGAUCAGCGUGGACAUGCCUGGGGAACUGGGGAAACGUCCAGGUCUGGUUAGACAGGGGACUAGACAUCACAGGUCAGUGUAGAUGCACCUGGAAAAUGAGGAACACACCCCAGGUCAGGAUAGGCAUACCCUGAGGAUUUAGAAAGUCGUCCUUAUUCGGUGUAGACUCGUCUGCAUAAUUAGAUAUCCCAGCUAUAAACAGCCACACCUCAGCAGUUAGACAGCUGAGAUUAAGGUGGGUGCACCUGGGGAACAGGGAGGUAAACCAUGUUAGCGUAACACGUGGGGUAUUAAGUAGACACAGCAGGUCAAGUGCGGACACCAGGGGGGAUGAGGGGAACAUCCCGGGCUAGUGUAGACGUAACUGGAAUAUCUGAAAGGCAUUCAGAGCAUCAUGGCAGUGUAAGACAUCCCUGCUUUGUGUCUCCCUUUUUGAAUAACUCGUCAGGCAUCCAUCUGUGAACACAAGUGCCUCUGGGAUCCAACCCCAUACGCCAAAGGCUCUGGGAGGAGCGUCACCCAACCGUGUACCUGGAAAUAGGCAGACAGACCUCCGAGGGGCUGCAAACCAGCGGGAGCCCUCUUGCCGCUAGCGGGGAAGCCUCGAGCAUGCUGACUUGGACAGAAAUGCACAGACAAGGAAGGCUGGGGUGGGGUCCAAGCUGCCCCAGGGGCGGCUCCAGCAUAUCCCCAGAGUCUGGAUGCACUGGAAAUAGAGGAACUUUGCCGGUGCCACCCCUCCCCAAAGGUGACGCCACGUGGGGCUCAAUGAGCAGCAGCAGCCUCUCCCACGGUGGGAGGGAGCACCGGGAGUGCCGGCGUCCCCAGCUGUGUGGGGGCUGCAGGAGAACCCCAUUUCUCUCCAGCAGCACCCAGAGUACUGAGGGACGUCCAUGACUCCAGGGGAGAGAGGAUCAGCAAACAGAUGAGAAUAUUAGCACUGAAGUCCAAAUGUGAGCUUCUGGAAGAAUCCUACCUGAGGAUCCACCACACCUAGAGUACUGAGCCCACACCUGCCCAGUCUGCCCCCGUGGGCGGAGGACGCACCACACAAGUGUCUGUAGGGCCACCUUCCGGGAAAUGAGGUGAGUUCUCCAGACCAGAGAAGGCCUACAAGCUCAAGAAUUCUGCUACAGGACAGGGCAGGAAGCAAGGACAGGGAUGUCCACACAAGGACAGAGAAAGCCCAGACCCGACAGGCUUGACUAACAGCAUCUCCCACCUGAAAGGGAUCACAAAGAUUGAGGCGAUGUCCGCCACUCCUACACCAGAGCAGCACCGCAAAAGUACAACGAACGUGAGUGAAGAAUCAAGGAACGCAUCGUCACCAUAAGGCAACAGUAACCCUCCAACAACCAAACACAAAGGCUGAAGUUUGUGACCCAGCUGAUAAGGGGCCCAAAGAAAACACACAAGAGACAAUUUAACAAAAAUCAGAAAAGCUGUAUGUACAUGAACAAAAUGACAAAUUUAACAAUGAGAAAUCACAAAAAACUGGGACUAAAGAAUUGAAUGAAUGGGAUGAAAAAUGCAAUAGAGGGCACUCACAGCAGAGUGUAUAAAAUGAAAGACGGAAUCAGUGAGCUACAGGAUAGGAACUUUGAAAUAACCCAAUCAGGAUUAUAAAGAAUUAAAAAGCAUUACAAAAGCCUAGAAGAUCCAUGUGACUCCAUCAAAAGUACAAGUAUCAGAAAAAUUGCAUUCUGGAAAGAGAAAAGGAGCAGGGAGUUUAUUUAAGAAAUAAUGGCUGAAACGUCCCAGACCUGGGGAGACACUUGGGCAGCCAAGUCCAGGAAGCCAAUAGACCACCCUCCUAUCCCGGUGCCAACAGGCCUUCCCCAAAACACACUCACCAUGACAAAACUGUCAAAAAUCCAAGACAGAGAAUCCGAAAAGCAUGCAGAGAAUAUUGUAAUCUACAAAGGAACCCUCACUGGGUGGUCAGUGCAUUUCUCAGCAGAAAGCCUAUAGGCCAGGAGAGAGUGGAUGAUAAUUCAAAGUGCUGUAGGAAAAAAACUGCCUGCCAAGAAUAUCUGGUAAAGUUAUCCUUCAGAAAUGAAGAAAUAGACACUUUUCCAACAAAAGCUGAGUGAGUUCAUCGCACUAGACCCUCCUUACAAGAAAUGCUGAGAAGAGUUAUUCCAGCUGAGGUGAAGGGACAAUAAUCAGUGAAACGACACACGAGUCAGAUUGCAACGGUAGAUUAGCCACUUUGCUGGAACAUAAAGGUCCAGGGGAAAGAAUAUAAAAAUUACAGCUACUAUGAUUGAUUAAUACACAAUACAAAAGAGAAAAACUGUGACAUCAAAAAUAUACAAGUGGUAAAGAGUGAGGAUUCUGUAUGUGAAGUCACUGUCAACUUCAAAUGGGCUGUUUUAUCUGAGAUAGAUCAUGUCAGCCUCCUGGUAACCACAGAGCAAAAUUCUGAAGUAGAGGCACAAAAGAGCAAAGGGAAAAGAGAACAGACCACCACAGAAGAUUGAGAUACAAAAAUGGGCAGAAACAGCACAGGGAAAAUUGAAGUGCGAAACAACCAGGAAACAGGUAAUAAGGGCUUCCUAUAGCCACUCUGUUACCAGUAAUCACACUAAAUACAAAUGGACUGAAUUCUCCAAUCGACACACACAGAGUGGCUGAAUGGAUUUCUGAAAAGAGCCAACUGCAUGCUGGCUGUAAGAGACUUGCUUCAGGUUUAAGGACACACAUAGGCUCAAAGUCAAGGGACAGAAAAUGAUAUUUCAUGAGGGUGUAAUCCAAAAGAAAGCAAGGGUAUUUAUAUCAGAGAAAAUAGAAUUUAAGCCAAAAACAGUAACAAAAGAGGUCAUUACAUAAGGAUAAAGGGAGUUUACCAAGAAUAUGACAGUCAAACAUACACACGUUAAAGCACCUAAAUAUAUUAAGCAAAUGCUAACAGAUCUGAAAGGGAAAAAAGACAACACAAUAAUAGACUCUAAUAGCCCUCUUUCUGCCAUGGAUAUAGAUCAUCCAGACAGAAAAUCAACAAGGAGACAUUGGACUUGAACCAUACAUUAGACCAAAUGGACCUAACAGACAUUUAUAGAACAUUCUAGCUACAGCAGCAGAAUGCACAUUGUUCUCUAAUACACACAUUCUCCAGGACAGAUCAUAUGACAGGCUGCAAAAUGAGUCCUAGCAAACUUAAGAAGACAAAUUAUAUCAAGUAUCUCUUCUCACUGAAAUGGUACAAAACUGGAAAUCAACACAAAGAGUAAAGCUGGGAAAUCUACAAAUGUGUAAACUAAACAUCGCAUUCCUGAACAAUGAAUGGGUCAAAGAAGAAAUCAAUGGGAAAUUAAACAAAAUACCUGCAAACAAAUGACAACAGAAACAUAAUGCACCAAAACCCACGCAAUGCUCCAAAACAAGCUCUGAGAGGGAGGUUUAUAGUAACUAGUGCAAACGUUAAAAUAAAAGUACCUUAAAUAAACAAUGUAACUUUAUGCUUCAAGGAACUAGAAAGGUAAGAACUAAACCCAACGUCUGCAUAGGGAAGGAAGUAGAUUCUCCAAGAUCAGAGCUGAAACAAAUGAAAUAGAGACCAGAAAAGCAACAGACAAGAUCAAUGACACUAGGAGCUGGGUUUCUGGAAAGAUAAACUUGACAAACCUUUAGCUAGACUGAGAAAAGAAGACUCAAAAUCAGAAAUGAAAGAGAAGAUACUGCAACUGAUACGACAGAAAUGCAAAGGAUCAUAAGAGACUACUACCAAGCCUGGAUCAGGAAGAAAUAGAAAAUUUGAAUAGGCCAAUAAUGAGUCAGGAGAUUGAAUCAACAACCAAAAACCUCUCAACACAGAAAACUCCGGGACCAGGUGGCUUCACUGCUGAAAUCUACCAAAUGUUUACAGAAGAAUUAAUGCUGUUCCUCCCCCAACACAGUCCCAAAAACUGAAGAGGAGGGGACACUUCCAAACUUAUUUCACAAGGCAAGCAUUACCCCGAUAGUAGGUUGACAAAAUAUUAGUAAACUAAGUUUAACACCUAAGACCAGUUAUAUAAUACCACAAGCAACAGACUUAUCCGUGAGAUGCGGGGGUGGUUCAACAUACAUUAAGUGAUACAUGUGAGAGUAAAAGAAAAAAAUUCCUAUCAUUUCAGUUAAUGCAGAAUAAGCACUCAACAGACUAUACCUUUGAUGAUAAAACCUGUUAACAAGUCAUGUGCAGAAGGAACACACUUCAACAUAAUUAAGCUGGUUAACAACGAGCCCACAGCGAACCUCAUACCCAGAAGAAAUGCUUUGAGUCUUUCACCAUCAAGAUCGGGAACAAGGAAAGAGUUCACUAUUCCUAUUCAACCCACAGCAAUGGAAAUUCCAGCCAGAGAAAUCAAGCAACAAAGAAAAUGCAUCCAAAUCAGAAAGGAAGAAGUAAAAUUGUCAUUCUUUGUACGUGAUACGAUGUUAUACAUAGAAAACCUAAAGACUCCACUAAAAAAGCUAUUAGAAAUAAUCAAUGAAUUUAGUAAAAUUUCAGGAUACAAAAUCAGCACACAGAAAUCAGUGUGUCUGUAUACACUAACAGUGGAACAUCUGAAAAAGAAAACUAUCAUAUUCACAAGAGCAACUUUUUAACAAUAAAAAUAGGAAUAAAUUUAACCAAGCAGGUGAAAAAUGUGCACAAUGAAAACUACAAGAGCUUGAUGAAAGAAAUUGAAGAAGAAACAAAAGGAAAGAUGCCCCAUGUUCACGGAAGCAAAGAAUUAACAUUGUUAAAAUAGCCAUACUACCCAAAGCCAUACGCAGAU